GCCGACCUAGCUCAAUGGUAGAGCACAGCUUUCGUAAAGCUGAGGUUGAGGGUUCGAUCCCCUCGGUCGGCU
rnacentral:tRNA from 1 species